UGGUUUUGUAACUUCGCUAUCAGUAUUCCACAUCAUAACAUCAUGGACAAAAGAGAAGAACUACGUAUCCCAGAGGACCUCACGGUCAGAGAAGGAAGACACAUCACGGAAGAUCCGUCAUCUGGUUGUGCGCGGUUUUUCUUCACUUUCGCUUGCUGCCGGGAGAGGAGUGGCUGUGCUUUCCAAGCCGGGCGCCUUCAUCAAUUAAUGCUUUGGGAGAACUCAGAAGCAUUCUGUGUAGUGUCAAAGCUGUGAGAGGAAUGUUAGCACUCAGUGGAAACACAGCAGAAACAUGGACAACCCAGAGAUGGAUGUCAUGACAUUGCAACAGUUAAACACUGAUCAGAAUGGUAUGCUAAUACCAAGUACACAGGUUUGUGCUGAAUGCCUACUUAUCAAGGAAAUCUGUUGGCAGAGGGAUACCCAAGUCACAGCAGUGAUGAAAAGAAGAAAAUGAUCCAAAGCACCGAAAGACAACUGAGUGACUUUUCUAUUCACAAAUUGAUAGACUGAGAAGAAGGAAGGAAUAAAAGAUCUGUCUUGUGAAAUUGAAGAGAGUUCAUAGCUGAAAGCAGAGGAAUCUGUGCUGUGGUCAUCCAGAAACUGCUUACACACAUUACAACUAAUGUAUGGUCUACACACCCAGUGAAAACGUGGAACACCAGAAUAUAAACUCUGCUUAUAAGUGAAGAACACUACUUUCCAGCUGUUCUUGGUGUGUAAAGGGUGUGGUGGUCAUGGGGACACUGAAGGGUGGAAAGAGUGAAAACAGAUCAUGGAUAAAAAUGUUGAGUAGAGAUGACCCUAGAGUUGAGCCUGGAGGAUCUGCACCAGUGACUGGCCACCAUCCAGAUGUAGCCGUAUUCACUACAGCACUUUGAGCUCUGUGAUCAAGUGAGUUUGAAUCUUUUUAUCUCACAGUUGGACAAUUUGUCUAGAAUGAUGUUGUGAGGGAUACUAUCAAAGGGUUUACUAAAAUUUAGAAAGAUGACACCCACCAUCUUCCCUUUAUCCACCAAGCAGGGGAACUUAUAGAAAGAGACCAAAUUACUAAGGGAAAACUUCCCAUGGUAAACCCAUGUUGAUUAUGUCUAUUAAUAUUCUUUAGAUGUCUUUAAAUAUUCCCUAGGACAGUCUUCUCAAUAACUUCCCCAGGUUUUGUGAUUAGACUAACAGGUCUGUAAUUGUCUGUGUCUUCCCUCAUGCCUUUUUUGAAGUUGAGUAUAAUGCUGACUUCUCCAGACUACAAUGACUUUUGAUAAGUAUUUAAGAGGCAUCCAAUUAUAACACUCUUUAAUUCCUUCAGCUCUUUGGUGUUAUGAAGGUUAAGCUGAUGUAAUCGUUCUCUCAUAAUUUUGGUGAGUACAAAUGGAAAGUCACUGCUCCCUCAGCCAUGGUUUUCUAACUUUGAAGUCCAAGAGGCCCAUGGUCUGCCAUUACUGUUAAACUUUGAGACAAAAAACAAACAAACAACCCCCCCACACAUCCCCCAAAAAACAAACAAACAACAAAAAAACUCCACAUUAAAUUCCUUCACCUUUUUCUUCUCCUUAUUUCUUAGGUUAUCACCUGCUUCAAAUAUUGUCUGAUGUUUUCCUUUGACCUCCUUUUGCUGUUGAUACACUGAAAAAGCCUGUUUUUUGUUGUCUGACCCUAAAGUGGCCAGUGUUAAGUUGUCCUUCGCGAUUUUUUGUUUUCUUCCUGUAAAUGAAAACUGUAAGUAUAUUAUCUCUCUGUGAAGCAAGACCUUGCUUUCAGAGAUGAUAUAUUUUCUUUUUCUAUCCUAGGUUCAGGUAGA